GUCCACGCCCUAAACGAUGAUUACUCGACAUACGCGAUACACAGUGUGUGUCUGAGCGAAAGCAUUAAGUAAUCCACCUGGGAAGUACGUCCGCAAGGAUGAAACUCAAAGGAAUUGACGGGGUCGCACAAGCGGUGGAGCAUGUGGUUUAAUUCGAUGAUACGCGAGGAACCUUACCUGGGCUAGAAUGCUGCCUGACCGAUGCCGAAAGGUGUUUUUAUAGCAAUAUACAGGUAGUAAGGUGCUGCAUGGCCGUCGU
rnacentral:rRNA from 1 species